rnacentral:rRNA from 1 species
UACGUAGGGUCCAAGCGUUAUCCGGAAUCACUGGGCGUAAAGCGUGCGUAGGUGGCGUGUUAAGUGUGAUGUUAAAUCGUGUGGCUCAACCAUAUCGAUGUGUCGCAUACUGGCAUGCUAGAGGGAAGCAGAGGCAAGUGGAAUUUGUAGUGUAGCAGUGAAAUGCGUAGAUAUUACAAGGAACACCAAUGGCGAAGGCAGCUUGCUGGGCUUCUUCU